UACGGAAGGCAGCAGUGGGGAAUAUUGCACAAUGGGCGAAAGCCUGAUGCAGCUAUGCCGCGUGUAUGAAGAAGGCCUUAGGGUUGUAAAGUACUUUCAUCGGGGAGGAAAAACAAACUAAUAAUUUUAUUUCUUGACGUUACCCGAAAAAGAAGCACCGGCUAACUCCGUGCCAGCAGCCGCGGUAAUACGGAGGGUGCUAGCGUUAAUCAGAAUUACUGGGCGUAAAGAGCACGUAGGUGGUUUUUUUAAGUCAGAUGUGAAAUCCCUGGGCUUAACCUAGGAACUGCAUUUUGAAACUGAAAUACUAGAGUAUCGUAGAGGGAGGUAGAAUUCUAGGUGUAGCGGUGAAAUGCGUAGAUAUCUGGAGGAAUACCUGUGGCGAAAGCGGCCUCCUAAACGAAUACUGACACUGAGGUGCGAAAGCGUGGGGAGCAAACAGGGAUUAGAUACCCGU
rnacentral:rRNA from 1 species